rnacentral:rRNA from 1 species
GACCAACGCUGGCGGCGUGCUUAACACAUGCAAGUCGAACGGAAAGGCCCUGCUUGCAGGGUACUCGAGUGGCGAACGGGUGAGUAACACGUGGGUGAUCUGCCCUGCACUUCGGGAUAAGCCUGGGAAACUGGGUCUAAUACCGGAUAGGAGCCAUUUUUAGUGUGAUGGUUGGAAAGUUUUUCCGGUGUAGGAUGAGCUCGCGGCCUAUCAGCUUGUUGGUGGGGUAAUGGCCUACCAAGGCGGCGACGGGUAGCCGGCCUGAGAGGGUGGACGGCCACAUUGGGACUGAGAUACGGCCCAGACUCCUACGGGAGGCAGCAGUGGGGAAUAUUGCACAAUGGGCGCAAGCCUGAUGCAGCGACGCCGCGUGGGGGAUGACGGCCUUCGGGUUGUAAACUCCUUUCGCUAGGGACGAAGCUUUUUGUGACGGUACCUAGAUAAGAAGCACCGGCUAACUACGUG